AACGCACCUUGCACCUCUUGGUAUUCCGAGAGGUACAUCUGUUUGAGUGUCAUGAAUACCUCAACCUCUGCAUUUUCCUGUAAAGUGUGGCAGCGUUGGAUGCUGAGCGCUGCUGUGAUCACAGCUCGCUCCAAAUGCAUAAGCAAUCUUUGUACUACCCGGAUUGACUUGACGUGAUAAGAUCUUCGUCGAGGAUGCUUUUACAGCAGCCGGAUCGUAUACGAGUCGCUACCAAACCGUGCACCUGGUGCAACACACUUUUAAUUUAGACCUCAGAUCAGAUGGGACUACCCGCUGAACUUAA
rnacentral:misc_RNA from 1 species